CCAUUGCAGUUAUAGCAGUUAGAAAACACCGUUUAGGGCUGUUAGGGAGGUCUAGGGUGAGGAGUGAGGCCUGGCUACUGGAGCUUCUCAGGAGGAAGUGGGCCAGAGGGUGGGACUGGCCACUUUCCUGCCUUGAGAGUUUACCCCUGGCAGGGUGGUGCCUGCCCACUGUAGGAUAAAAGGACCAAGGAAAGAACACACUGACCCAGACUUGAUCCCAAGACCAGGACCAAGAUAAUGAAUUCUACCAAUUCCUGAGCUUGCCACAGAAACCCACCGAUCCCUGAACUCAAAACCUCAUCAAUCCCUGAACAGGAAAACCCACCAAUUCUAAGCUCGCCCAAACUCAGGACUUGAAAUCCCACCAAUCCUCACCCUGGAAAUCUCCACCUUGGAAAGCUCCUCCCACGGGCCAAAAAAUCCUACAGAAGCCCGAGCUCUGCCCAGCUCCCUGCUGCUGCACACAGAGCAGAGGCAGCCACUCUCCUGGGGUUUCCCUCCCAGUAAAUCUCUCGUGUGA